CCCGUCUCACAACCAAUUCUCCAGGCAUCUCUAUUCAUCGCCAAAUCCUUCCAGUUUGAUCCGCCUCCUAAGACUUCUAUAUCUCUCUUAACUAAAUCUUCCCAUCUCAAUUUUGGUCUUCCCAAAGGCCUUUUUUCUACUGGAUUCUGUUCUAAAACCAUUCUUAGUAAAGAGUUCUGGCUUCGCAUUGCAUGUCCUGCCCACCGCAACCUUUUUUUCUUGAUCGUCUCUGCUAUGUUAUUUUCAUUAAAAAUUUCUUGUAGCUCUAUAUUUUUCCUUCUUCUCCACUCUCCUGUGAUGUUAUCUUUUAUUGGACCGAAGAUCUUUCGUAAUAUUUUCCUUUCUAGUAUUAAAAACUUAUUCUCAUCUGAUUUCCUUAGUGCCCAGGUUUCCGAUCCAUACAAUAUCACUGGCCAUAUUAGACUAGUAUACAAACGUCUCUUUAUCUCUCUUGAUAAUGAUUUAGAACUUAAUAGUUUCUCCAAACCAUAAUAAGUCCUGUUUCCCGCUUGGAUUCUCGCGGCUACUUCCUUGGUGAUAUCAUUUUUUUCAGUCACAAUUGAGCCAAGAUAUUUGAAAGAAUUGACUCUCUUAAAUUUAAAAUGAUCUACCUCUAAAACGUGAUCCAUCCAAUUUUUUCUACCUUCAAUCAUAUAUUCAGUUUUUUGUUCAUUAAUUUGUAGUCCUACUUUCUGUGCUGCGUCAUUAAGUCUGUCACAGAGCCGUUUAACUCCAGGUUGAGAUUCGUCCAUCAGUACUAUAUCAUCGGCAUAUGCCAAUAAUGGAAUAGUCGAGUUCCGGAGUUUUAUUCCUUCAUGGGGUUCAAUUUGCAUCCCUCUUAUUACUUUUUCCAAUACCAGGUUGAAGAGAAUAGGUGAGAUGGAAUCAACCUGUCUAAGGCCGGAUUAUACUGUAACUGGAUCAGACUUCAUAUUUUUGACUUUUAUUUUNUAGCUCUAUAUUUUUCCUUCUUCUCCACUCUCCUGUGAUGUUAUCUUUACCAAAUUGAAGAGAAUAGGUGAGAUGGAAUCACCCUGUCUAAGGCCGGAUUUUACUGUAACUGGAUCAGACUUCAUAUUUCUGACUUUUAUUUUGAUCACGGUUUCCAUGAUGCUGAUUGACACUAGAUUGACCAACUUCUGGGGAAAAUGGAACUCUUUCAGAAUAUUUAUGAGACUUUCCCUAUGAAUACUGUCGUAUGCUUUUUUGAAGUCAACGAAUAGCGUAUGUAUUUCCCUAUCGAAUUCCCACAUUUUUUGAUAUAAUUGUCUAAUAAUAAAU